UAUAUAUAUAUAAAAAAAAAUAGUCUUCUUCCUCAGAAUUUCAAACAAGGUGUGGAAAAUCCUGGUUAAGAGGAGUUAAAUCCAGCAGGUAAAGAUAUUUAAGAGUCUGCUCAGAAAAUCCAGUUUAAUCCAACGGCACCACAAUGAUGUGAUCCGGAUCUUAUGAUGAUGAUGGGUAGCGGGGCAACCACACCAAAAGUGUGGGGCUAUCGGCUGGGGGGUUCUCACCUAGGGAGCUUCCUAACCCGGCAGCUCUCCCCUGUGACGGCAGGAUGAGCCUAUGGGUCCUUCGGGAUCGGUCCUAUGGACGAGCCCAACGUGCACCGCUCAUGAUGGCCGUUUACAUUAUAGUGCUGAGAGGCGAAGUGCCAGUAGGCCUUUUGGUGGUCAAGGACCCCCAAAUCUGGCCUUUUGAGUGGGAGUCAUCGACUUAUUGUGUUAUAGUAUAGCCGGGUAGCAGUCAGAUAAUAGCAGUUAGCAGCUUGGGGAUUUUGUCAUUACCAGGGACCGUAGAGCGACUAGUCUCGAUGUAGUACAACUUGUAUUUUUUUUUUUUUGUAGCUGUACAUCAUACAUUCUUAUAUGUAUCUGGGAGGAUUAUUAACAACUUUGGUUGUUGAUUUUUGGUGUAUGUUUCCUCCCUUUUGUUAGAAAAAAAAAUGUAAUGAAACAAUAGUCCCCAGUAAUAAACAUAUAUUUUGA